UGGUGAAAUUUUUCAUAUGCGUUGUCUUGUUUUUCGUGAUUUUGAUGGAGAUUAUUGUGAUUUCAACUUUGAUUGACUAAAAUAUUGGAGGUAAAAGACGUGUAUUCGAUCUCUAAAUCCGCGUCUACCGUUUUUCUGUAAACUGAAAUAGAAGGGAACAGAAAGAACAAAAAGAGAGAAGAAACAAGUCGAAGUGACGGUUGUUAAUGUUUCUACCCGGCGUCAGAAUGGGAUCGAGAGUUUGGACGAUUUCUUCUUCGUGUCGAGGGACUAUGUUCUCUUUUGCUAUGAUCUCUCUGAAAUCAUCUUUCCGAUGACCGGGGUAAAGCAGUCUUGGUAAUGAGUUUUCUUAUUAAAGCCCAGAAGGAUGGGGUUAUUGCUGGAGCUAUAGGGCUGCUUUGAGGCAGUGGUGGGACGUCUCUCAUAUCCUCUGCAAUAAAAUCUCUUCAUAUUGGAACACCUAAGCUUAUCGUCUCAACGUUUCCUAGUGGUCAGACAGACUCUUAUAUCUGCACAUCCGAUCGGAUACUUUUCCCAUCUAUAGUGGAUGUGUCUGGAAUCAGUGGAGGAAAGUGUACUCCGUCUACUGGCUAUAGCAGUUGCUGCUCAUGGGAUCAAUCCUAAUAUCUUGGUGCUCUAUCAUGGAGAAUUGGACAAAUUAUGUUCAGAUUGAUCUUAAUUUGAAGGCAGAAGAUAAUGCUUUGGUCUGCACUCCUUUCGUUCCCCGUGAAAAGAUAAUCUUCAGGUCCUUAGCAAAAAGUCUGCCAAAGUCUCGGUCUCAUCCUAAUGUAAGCAACCAAAAAUAGGGCAGUGUAGAAGAUCACAGUACCAAGUAUUAUGAGUUCGGAUCAUUUGGUAAUAAAUGCCAGCGUUAGACAGCUUGGUAGUACAUGCAGAAGAUUGUACAUUUUUCUACAUAAUCAAUUCCAGGAAAUUUGAGGUAUAGUGAAGCCAAUAUUAGGCUAAUUUUCUCCUGUCAAUUUGUGUAUUUAUAUUGAUUGUAUUCAUUCUGAGACGAUUCCUCUCGAUCCUCCUGGGACUGUAAAUGUUAGAUGGUUGCCUUUUAUGCCUGCGUAAGAAUGUAAUUCUCAUUUGUCAAAUGCAUGAAAAUGAAAAGAUGUACAAUUACUUCAAUAUUAAAAAUUAUCUAAUGAAGUGCGGCCCUUGAUGAGCUUGAUACUUGGCAUGUAUAUUAUAUCUAGUUCUAACUUCUUACACGCUUGUGAUGGGCAGAAAAAUGUAGCAAAUCGUAUCUCUUACCCUCUGUGUUUUGUUCUUCUCUCUCUCUCUUUUUUUUUUUUUUUGUUGGUUCACUACUUUAUCAAGAUCAAUUUGGGGAAGAUCCAUUAUCCUAGAUAUUGUAGAUUCAAACUUGGACAGUAAGAACAGUCCUGUUAUCAAUUGCACAUUGUUUCUCCUUGAAUAUUAAAAUGAAGGUCCUGUUUCUUUCAAGUGCCAGCCGUCCUUAUCAUUUCACAUGUCAUUCAGGCCUUAACCAUGACGGAGCAAGAUGUUAUCAUCCUUGAGGUGUUCAUUCUUAGGUUUUUCUGCUUCCUCUUAAUCUUCUACUCAUGUAAGAACGACACAAUUGUAGAUGAAGAUCUUUCUUUGAAUGAUGCUACUAAAUCGUCGAUUAUAAGUACCCUCUCUUGGUGCAAGGGAAGGGUUUGACGUGACAUGAAUGAAAAUAGACCACGGAGUCGAGACAGACGGGGAAUCUAGAGGGAAGCCAUUAUAGGUGUGCAAAAUCAAACCAAACAGAUAACCGGAUCUUAAGGAGUGCGUGCCAAGUCUUCAAAGUAAUGGGGCAGCCGCUUCUCAGCCUAGGGAUAUGUGCCUUCUUUUCGAGGCAAGGAUCUGGAUCAUCAACCGUCCACCUAAACAAUACAAAGGAAAAAUAAUGAUGAGGAUAAGAAGAGGAAGUUCGGAAUUAGUUCUUGGAACGGGAUGAAAUGCCUGCUGCUUUAGGAAUGUACAGACUCACCUGUACCCUCCAGUCAUCCUGUGCAAAAAGACCAACAUUGUUAAUUUGGCCAUGUUGAUUCCGAGACAGGUCCUGGGUCCAGAUCCAAAAGGUGGAAGCUGCAUUUUUUUAGCUGAAUUCAAGUGUCUCGGAGCUACAUCUUCUUCCCCCUCUCCAGGAGUGGAGUUUGACUAGGAUAUUUAAAAUAUUUUUAAAAUUCAGAUUGUAUAUAAAUUAAUUACUAUAAAAAAAACAUUUCUUUCUUUUUCCAUAAAGUUAAAUUAGUUUUAUUUAUUUAUUAUUAUUAUUUGUUAAAAUAUGAAAGUUAGUGAAUCUGGUUAUUUAACCUCACUUAUAUAACCUGGCGACAGGGAAUGGAAAGAGGGAACGGAAAAGGAGAGGGAGCUACUUGAGAGGGAUGAUGAUCAUGAAACUCCAUAAACUCGGUAACUCCAGUUUUCCCCUCUCUAAGCUUGUCAAUGUUCUAGUUAAUUUUGUAUCGCUUAAAAUCGUUGAAGCUUAUGAUUGGUGCAUCAUCUAAUUAUUUGUUAUGUUGACAGGUUUAAACAGUUAGUCUGUUUAUUAAAAUCGAACCGAUUAACAUAUGUCUUAGAGUUUUAAAUUUUUAUAGAGAUAACAACUUAGUCCACCUACUUUAGCUUAUAACAUGUUGGACAUAUAU